GUGCUCAUUUCAGCAGCACAUAUACUAAAAUUGGAAUGAUACAGAGAUUUGCAUGAUCCCUACACAAGGAUAAAAAUUUUAAAAUAAAGAAAAAUUAGAAACAGAA
rnacentral:snRNA from 1 species